UUUACAAACCCUCACGCCUUUUCUGUUUCUCCAAACCCUCACUCACGCCUUUCUGAAAACGUUCAAACUCUUUCUUCUCCAAACUUGGUUCUCCAAACUUUUGCAAUUACGCCUGACCUCCUAUUUCAAACGUGACAGUGACGGUGAAGUCCAUUUUAGCGGUGAUGUAAUGGUGAAGUUCGAUUUCAACAUAAAAGAUGACAGUGAGGUCCGAUUUCAACCUAAAAGGUGAGGAUGAAGUCCGAUUUCAAUCGGUUGCCUCAGAUCCCGUUGAGUUCACGCCCAAAUCCUUUCGAUUUCAACGUUUUCUCGAAUCCCUUUGAUUCUGAUGAGUGGUUGCUGCCUCUAAUCCCUUCGAUUACGCCAUUUUCAGAGGUAAAAGUGGUGUUGGACUUGAUUGUUUUGUCGAUUUAUAUUGUAUUUGAACUUUGAUUUUGACAAGUGUUGCACUUGAGUAUUUGCUUACUUGUUUUUGAACUUUUACUAUUCAUUGUUGUUCAUUGUGGAUGGAAACAAACAGGGACUAACAUCAUCUCUCAUAACAACCCCACGACGCCGUAACAACAACCUUCUCAUUCAUUUGUUUGUUUGUUGUUUAAACUUUUAAGUGCGAGAAAGCAAACAAAUUUCUUUUCAAAUGAGAUUUUCAUGUAUGCUUAAUUUAUUAUUUUUUAUUCUGAAACUUGAAGGUAUAGUUAUUAUACCCCGCUGCUUUUGAUCGGUACUCCUCCUCAGAGAUUUGCUAUUAUUGAUACAGAGAGUGUUGUUACUUAUGUUUUGAGCUCUACUUAUGAGCACUAGUAAGCACCAGGUAAUGUUACAGACAUUUUUAAGUGGAGGAAGCCUCUCAUUUGUAAAGAAGAUUCACUCAUUUGCUAUAUCAACCAUAAUAUCUGGCCUUGUUAAGUGGUACCCAAUGAUAGGAUAGUGUAGCAACCUGCCCUAAAAAUUAAAGUUUAGAGUCGCCACCUAUUCUGAAGGGCGAAUAGGAAACCCUACGCAGUAUAGAGAUCGAGGUAAGAUACUAUAUUCAGGUCGAGGGAAGGUGUUAGGCACCCUCAACCCUUUCCUAAAGGCUAACAUUUCAAAGAUAAAGGUUUAUGGCAAGGUUUAUAGCUAAGGAAGUGAAUAGGGAAAAAAAUGAGAUUUUAGGGAGGGGGACUCGCCUUGUUGCCAACUGCCUACGUAUCUCCUUAUGGAGAAUCAGAGUCAACGUAGUUCGGGGGACGGGUUGUACGCCUUUAAGGUUUGAAAUUUGAUUUGAAGGUUUGAAGGCUUUGAAUAGCCUGUCGUAGAUAAAAAUCUGUAUUUGGAGUUUGAAGUUUGAAAAAAUGUUUUGAAGUUGUUUUAGAUGUUCUGGGCGUACAACCCUGAUUUGGCACAAUUAACCGCAAUGAUCAAUAGGUUUGAUCACCAUAGUCAAAAGAUUAGGGGUUUUGUACCAUUACCAAUUCAAAUCGAUUGAUUCGAUUAUCACUAAUAA